UGGUGGAGUCAGCGGCGAUAAGGACACCGGGGCAGACGGGGCAGUGUCCCCGAGACGACAAGGAAGCCGGACAACCUGGGAGGGGGGUUGUUGACCGGAAGAGAAAUUGGUCAAACUUGUGGAAGAUCACUCAAGCGAGGGUCGGGUUUGUCAUCAGGUCGUAUGGACGUACGACACGCUUCCUUGUCCCCGGAACCUCCAGCAGUGGUUUCGAAACAAGCCAGCCUGCCCUCGCUUUGACGCGGUCGGUCUGUGAGGUCACGCUUUCACAGAGACGCUAUGGAUGGCGCCAUGACCAGGUCCUGGCAAAGCUAGCCGAGGUGCUGGAAAGGCGCAGAUGGGAAAGCGGUGCACGUAUCCCUCCAAUGGAACACCACGUCAACUUUCUCAGGGAGGGCGGAGGAAGGAGAAGCACCAGAGCCCUUUUCCUCCGGAGUGGAGUGGAACCUGCGAGUAGAUCUUUGCAGGCAGCUCCGGUUCCCCAGCGAACUGCCGGAGGAGGCGGAGAAGAGCACAUUUUGGCAGUGGCUAAGAAGAGGCUAAGAUCAAGGGGGGAGAAGGAAGGGCUGUUGUAUGGCAGAUUUUUUUCCGCGCAUGCACCGAGUGGCGAGCCAGAGAGGAGGUAUUUGCUUAGUUUGCCUAAAAAGAGUGUUGGAUUAGAAUCACCUUAACAAGGGCUUCUUUUGUUUCAACAUGACAAUAAAAAGAACACAAAGGAAAUUUUAGCAACCGGAAUGACAAACAAAUCAAACGCAUCGACUGUCUUAAAGCAGGAUUUAGUUUUGUCCAUUAAACUUUCUGUGGACAGUGUGCAGUAAAAACAAUAUUUGUAACAUCACAAGCUCUUUACUCAUGUGGGUCAACCUACUCGUCUCUGAGCUGAAGAAACAUGCAGCUUGGCAUUAUUAACCAAUCCAUUUUUUUUACCAGGCUUUGAUCUUCUGCUGAUGCUGAGCGUACAUGUCCAGAGGGCUCCGGCCUGAAGGGAAUGUCUCCUGCAGUGAUUACGAGCAGACGUCCUGGUUGUUGGGUUUUGCCAGCAUGCUGGUAGAAGAGCCUUUCAUUGCCCGUAGGGAAUAAGUAUCUACUGGGAGGACUAUUCCAUUUACCAGCAUGGCCUCAUGACUGCAGCCAGUAUUCACAGUAUGAGGUUCUUAUGUUAUUUCUGUGCUUACAUGCAUGAAUGUCUAGCAGGAUGAAAUAAAGAGUCAGAUAUGAUUUGUAAUUUGUUUCAUAAAAGUGUGU
ensembl:lncRNA